rnacentral:rRNA from 1 species
GACGAACGCUGGCGGCGUGCUUAACACAUGCAAGUCGAACGGAAAGGCGCGGCGUUUGUGGGGUGCUCGAUUGGCGAAGGGGUGAGUAACACGUGAGUAACCUGCCCUUGACUGUGGGAUAACUCUAGGAAACUGGGGCUAAUACCCGAUAGGAGCUCCUGCUGCAUGGGGGGGGUUGGAAAGUUUCGGCGGUUGGGGCUGGACUCGCGGCUUAUCAGCUUGCUGGUGGGGUAGUGGCUUACCAAGGCUUUGACGGGUAGCCGGCCUGAGAGGGUGGCCGGCCACAUUGGGACUGCGGUACGGCCCAGACUCCUACGGUACGCAGCAGUGGGGAAUAUUGCACAGUGGGCGGAAGCCUGAUGCGGCAGCGCCGCGUGCGGGAUGACGGCCUUCGAGUUGUGAACCGCUUUCGCCUGUGACGAAGCGUGAGUGACGGUAAUGGGUAAAGAAGCACCGGCUAACUACGUG